UUAUGGCCAUAUUACGUUGAAACACCGGUACUUGCACGAUCACCGAAGUUAAACAACGUCAAGCAUCGUCAGUACCCCGAUGGGGGACCGCUUGGAAAUACCAGGUGCUGUAAU